rnacentral:rRNA from 1 species
GGACGAACGCUGGCGGCGUGCCUAACACAUGCAAGUCGAGCGAGGAGAUCCUUCGGGAUGAUCCUAGCGGCGGACGGGUGAGUAACACGUGGGCAACCUGCCUCAUAGAGAGGAAUAGCCUUCCGAAAGGGAGAUUAAUACCUCAUAACAUUGCAGUUUCGCAUGAAACAGCAAUUAAAGGAGCAAUCCGCUAUGAGAUGGGCCCGCGGCGCAUUAGCUAGUUGGUGAGGUAACGGCUCACCAAGGCGACGAUGCGUAGCCGACCUGAGAGGGUGAUCGGCCACAUUGGGACUGAGACACGGCCCAGACUCCUACGGGAGGCAGCAGUGGGGAAUAUUGCACAAUGGGGGCAACCCUGACCCAGCGACGCCGCGUGAGGGAAGACAGCCUUCGGGUUGUAAACCUCUGUUGCAGGGGAAGAAGAAAGUGACGGUACCCUGCGAGGAAGCUCCGGCAAACUACGUGCCAGCCGCAGC